rnacentral:rRNA from 1 species
UGGGGAAUAUUGGACAAUGGGGGCAACCCUGAUCCAGCCAUGCCGCGUGAGUGAUGAAGGCCCUAGGGUUGUAAACGCUCUUUUGUGCGGGAAGAUAAUGACGGUACCGCAAGAAUAAGCCCCGGCUAACCUUCGUGCCAGCAGCCGCGGUAAUACGAAGGGGGGCUAGCGUUGCUCGGAAUCACUGGGCGUAAAGGGUGCGUAGGCGGGUUUCUAAGUCAGAGGUGAAAGCCUGGAGCUCAACUCCAGAACUGCCUUUGAUACUGGAAGUCUUGAGUAUGGCAGAGGUGAGUGGAACUGCGAGUGUAGAGGUGAAAUUCGUAGAUAUUCGCAAGAACACCAGUGGCGAAGGCGGCUCACUGGGCCAUUACUGACGCUGAGGCACGAAAGCGUGGGGAGCAAAACAGGAUUAGAUACCCUGGUAGUCCACGCCGUAAACGAUGAAUGCCAGCCGUUAGUGGGUUUUACCACUAGUGGCGCAGCUAACGCUUUUAAGCAUUCCGCCUGGGGGAGUACGGUCGCAAGAUU